UUGCAGAGAACAGGCUUGAAUGCAUAGGUUCCCUAGGUCUCUUCUGUGACAACAGCAGGGAAGAAAUGAGGAAAAUUUGACACUUGCAUGCGAGUUUCAGGUACUGGUUACCACA
rnacentral:lncRNA from 1 species